CCUACGGGAGGCUGCAGUGGGGAAUAUUGGACAAUGGGCGAAAGCCUGAUCCAGCCAUGCCGCGUGUGUGAAGAAGGCCUUCGGGUUGUAAAGCACUUUCAGUGGGGAAGAAAGCCUUGGGGCUAAUACCCUCGAGGAAGGACAUCACCCACAGAAGAAGCACCGGCUAACUCCGUGCCAGCAGCCGCGGUAAUACGGAGGGUGCGAGCGUUAAUCGGAAUUACUGGGCGUAAAGCGCGCGUAGGCGGUCUGAUAAGCCGGUUGUGAAAGCCCCGGGCUCAACCUGGGAACGGCAUCCGGUACUGUCAGGCUAGAGUGCAGGAGAGGAAGGUAGAAUUCCCGGUGUAGCGGUGAAAUGCGUAGAGAUCGGGAGGAAUACCAGUGGCGAAGGCGGCCUUCUGGACUGACACUGACGCUGAGGUGCGAAAGCGUGGGUAGCAAACAGGAUUAGAUACCCCGGUAGUC
rnacentral:rRNA from 1 species